rnacentral:rRNA from 1 species
CCUAAUAGGAAAUUUAAAGGGCGUAUGGUGGAUGCCUUGGCUAGAAAAAGCGAUGAAGGACGUGGCGUGGCGGCGAUACGCUUCGGGGAGGUGCCGAGCAACCUUUGAUCCGAAGAUGUCCGAAUGGGGAAACCCCUUCAGGUAAAACCUGGAGACCUGCUUAGAUUUUUGUGUUCAAAAAAGAAAAAGGCCCACGGGGGCCUUAGUGAAAACUUCAAGGGUGACUUCCAAGAACUUGUCGAAGCGGAAGGCUUCAGAAAGUCUUAGGGUAAGAAACCUUGUAAAUCUUCACUAGAUAUAGUAUCAAAUUAUAUUCUUUUUGUCAAGAACCCAAAAAUCUAAGCAGGAGCGUACCCUGGGAAGUAAAACAUUUCAGUACCAGGUGGAAAAUAAACAAACAUGCAUUCCGUCAGUAGCGGCGAGCGAACGCGGAGAAGACUAAACCCUACUUCGCUCAUUGCUACGCAUGAGCUACGAAGGGCAGGCCCUAAAUAAAGGAACUUGCCCUUCGAAGCUCGUUACGUAGUAACGAGCGGAGUAGGGGGUUGCGAGGUUGAGACGUGCUAUUCUAUUUAUUUAGAAUUGGCAGAGAAGUUAUCAAAUUUUUUAUUAGCUUGACGAGCUGGAAAGCUCGACCCUAGCGGGUGAUAGUCCCAUAAGCGAAAAUAAAAGAUCUUCUUUGUCUUGAUUCUCAAGUACACCGGGACACGAAAAGCUCGGUGGAAUCCGCCAGAACUAACUGGCAAGUCUAAAUAUUUUUCUAGACCGAUAGUGAACAAGUACCGUGAGGGAAAGGUGAAAAGCAGCCCGGAAGGGCGGUGAAAUAGAUCUGAAACCAUAUGCCUACAAGGAGUCGGAGCGGACAACACAAAUUAAAUAAUUCUACAAAGGAACCAUUUAACAAUUAUUAAUAGUUCAAUUGUUGAAUAGUUAAAUUGUUUAAUUUGUGUUGUCCGUGACGGCGUGCCUAUUGAAGAAUGAGCCAACGAGUUUUAGCAAGCUGCUCGACUAAGUCCGCGAGGACGGAGUCACAGGGAAACCGAGUCUGAACAGGGCGCUCGUAGUUUGCUAAAGACCCGAAGCCAGAUGAGCUUGCCACGCGCAGGGUGAAGUUCUCCGAAAGGAGGAUGGAGGCCCGAACCGGUUAGCCGUGCAAAACUAUCGGAUGACGUGUGGUAAGGAGUGAUAAGCUAAUCGAAUCUGGUAAUAGCUGGUUCUCUCCGAAAGAACUUUUGGGUUCGCGUCGGAUGUACCCUUACGGGGUAGAGCACUGGAAGGUUCUGACAGGUCGAAAGAUCCCUGAACCUAUCAAACUCCGAAUACGUAAGGUAAUUAUCCGGCAGUUAGACUGUGGGGGCUAAGCUCCAUUGGUCAAAAGGGAAACAGCCCGGAUCUCAAUUUAAGGUCCCUAAAUCAACAUUAAGUGCGCUUAAGGUAGUGAAAUUUCUAUAACAAUGAGGAUGUAGGCUUAGAAGCAGCCAUCAUUCGAAGAUAGCGUAACAGCUCACUCAUCGAGAAAUUUCGCGCCGCAGAUAAUCGGGGCUAAAAUGUUGUACCGAAACUGAGGGCUUGUGUACUUUAUUAAGGAAAAUUUGUUCUUUGGCUUCUAUGGGCGGAAUUUGUUUCCGGAGAAUUCGGAUUCAAAUUCUGCUCAUAGAGGCAACGAUUGUGUGUUCCUGGGGAUUGUGCAGAUCUCUCGCAUAAGGUGAUGGUGAAUUUGAUGCGCGUAAAUUGGUCAAUUUUCAUAGUCACCUCUUGAAUGGAUCCGUAUUAAUUAGAACAGGAAUGGCGGAUCCGGAAAUGGGAAAUCCCGCAAGUUCGUAACUUGUCCUGUUCAUAGGGAUGAAGGGAACGUGCAUGCGUCAUCCUUCCACACACUUAAAUCAUUGUGCGAGUGUAGCUCAGAGGCAGAGCGCCGCCCCAACACGGCGGAGGUCGGGGGUUCGAGACCGCCCCACUCGCACCACUUCUUCAGAGUGACGAAAAGGUCGUCACUUUACGGAAGUAAGUAAAUUUGAAUCGGUUACCCAGGUAGCUCAAUUGGUAGAGCAACGCAGCGAUGCGAAGGUUAAUGGUUCAAGCCCAUUCCUGGGAGCCACUUUUUUCGUCGAUUUUUCAGGUAAAAAUCGCAACCAAGAAUGAUUUCUUGUCUUUGGGUAACUCUCCCAGCAUUUUCUGCUUCUCUUGCCCGUAUCUUAGACCAGAAGGUUUGGGGAACGUAGGCGUGAACCUGGAAAUAUGUCAGGUCGAACUUAAUCGACCAUGUUGCGUGAGAGUUGCCCCCUUAAUUAAGUACACAAGCGGUAGGAGAGUAUUCGCAUCUGCGUUGAAGGCAAAGGGGUGACCCAUGCUGGAGCGUUGCGAAGUAAGAAUGUUGGCACAAGUAACCGCAAUGCGGGUGAGAUACCCGCACGCCGAAAGAUCAAGGUUUCCUUGGCAAUGUAUAUCAGCCAAGGGUUAGUCGGUCCUAAGGGGAUGGCGAACGCCGCACCCGAUGGACAUAUGGUUAAUAUUCCAUAACUUUUGCGUGGUGCGAUGGAGUGACGGAGUGUAGUAUGAUGCGCAUAUAAUUGGAUUUAAUGUGUGUAGCGUAAGUGUGGGUCUUGGCAAAUCCGGAUCCUGACUUCAAUGUCGAACGCAAGCGAAGCACAGUCGCCUGUAAAAAGGCUAAUGCAUCAAAGCACGCUUCCAAGAAAAACUUCUAAGCAUAACCACGUAAAAACCGUACCGCAAACCGACACAGGUGAUCAGGUCGAGUAGACCUAGGCGAACGAGUGAGAGGUCUCCAAGGAACUCGGCAAAAAAGCAGCCGUAACUUCGGAAUAAGGCUUGCCAAAGUAGGGAUUAGAGUUUAGAAAUCAGAAAAAAAUUAUUAGUGCGAUGAUGCUUACAAUAGCUAUGAGGAGAGUGGUAACAAAAACUAUUUUCAGGAAGAGACUAAGUUUAUAGUCCAUUGUAUUACGUUUUUGUUUUGGUGGCAUUUUGGCGAACACUCUUUUAAUAGCUAGUAUUCCAUGAGUUGAUCGUACAUACAGCCCACCACCAAAGAGAAAUGAAAAGAUAAACAGGUCGACUAUAAGUAUUACUGUCCAAGGUCCGUCUGUUACCAUGUACAUAAUUGUAUCAUAAUAUAUUUCUAACUUCUAACCCCUACUUUGGCCGCAGCUAAAGUAUCUCUGGCAACUGUUUAACAAAAACACAGCUCCCUGCGAACUCGUAAGAGGAUGUAUAGGGGGUGACACUUGACCAAUGCCAGAAGGUCAAAUAAUGCCGUUGCUAUGUCGCAAGAUAUAGUGGUGAGCGUUAUAAGCCCUGGUGAAUGUCGGCCGUAACUAUAACGGUCCUAAGGUUCUUGGUUUUCCGCAAGGUGAACCAAGAAGGACUAGGACUGUUAUGGCGAAAUGUUAAACAAUUUAGAAACACAAACAACGCAGUAAAUUAAGACGCUGCCUAUCUAUUGAACGAAUAGAUGUCCAAAAAUAUCUGACUAUAUGCUGGGAAGUCCGAGUAUCUUUUCGUACCACUUUAGCUAGUUAAAGUGGUGACAAUCGGAAAGUGCGGGCAAUCAGCAGGAAAGACUACAAUACCUUAAGGAGGUAUUAUGAAAAGUAAAAGAUCAACUAGAUGUGCAAUGUGCGAAAAAUUAAUUCCAAUUGAUCGUCUGAACUCACCCAACUGGAAUGUUCGUAGCACAUGUUCGGAUAAGUGCAAAUUGGAUUUCGAGCUGUCUGUUAAUAGACCAAAAGAGGCCGAAAGUCCGAAAUGAACUUGGGUGAGAUUCGUCCUCACCCCUUCCUUAAGGUAUUGUAGAAUCCUCAGAAACCAAACGUCAGACUUAAUUCAAAGUGAGUUAAGAAGAUAGAGUUCGAUCUGCAUGGCGACAUGCAGUUAACAAAAAUUAGCGCAAUUCCUAGAAGACUGGGACCAUAGAGAGUGAUCUUUAUGGAAAACUUGGCUAUAUGCGGGAAAAUCCGGUUGUAUUUGGAGCUACUCAUGAGAUAAUUGUUUCAUGAGUAAAAAUGCUUCCAAUGACUUUGGUAAAAAUCAAAGGCCGGACAAUCCGCAGGAAAUGUUGAAAAACAAUUUCUAUUUUUCGGGGCUCAUUGCCGCCGAAAUGUCAUGUUCAAUUAUUAAAACAACAAAUAAAAAGCCCAAUGAUUAUUACUACAUGGUCGUUCUGACAGUUACGAACGCAGAUCGAAAACUUCUUAAUGAAGUUAACCGCGUGGUAAUGAAUAAUCGAGGAGUCAUAUCCCCGGUUAAGGGUGCGUAUAAUCUUUCAGCUCGAGGCAAAAGUAAAGUGCGAACGGCACUUAAUUUUCUGGAAAUGUACCCAAUUCCUAUAGGCGAUCUCGCAAAAAAUCGCAUUCUUCUUUUGAAAACUGUUCUUGUGUACCUAGAAAGUCACAGGGCACAUAGAUUUCAAAAGGAGAAAACUAUAGAAAUUGAAGAAUUACGAAGAAAAUUACGAGAGGUUAAAACCAGAGGAAUCGUAGAUCAGCAGUUUGAUUUACUUCCUCUUGAUCAGGAUUCUCUCGGUUAUUUUAUAGCGGGAGUGAUUGAUGGAGAAGGUUCUUUUGGAUAUAAGUCUUCAGGGCUUGUCCAAGAACCAUUCUUCAUGAUUGCAAUGAAAGAUAAAAAGAUAAUUGAAUUGAUAAAUAAGUUUGUGAAUUAUGGAAAUGUCAGAUUGAGAAAAGAUGGUGUUUACCAUCUUGAAAUAAACAGUCGGAUCAUACUCAAAAAAGUAUGCAAGAUGUUUCUCAAUCAAUAUCCAUUACAUCACGAACGACAAAGAAAGAGAUUGAUGUUACUUCAACAGCUCCUCAACGACUACACGCCAAGAUCUCUGAAACCAGUGGUUUUAGAGAAUGUGAUAUAGUCUGAACUGCAUGGCGACAUGCAGAGUGUGAUUCGCGUCACACCGCUUGCAAGAUUUUAUUUAUAUAAAUUUUUGCAAGUCAUGUCCAUCUCGGACAAAAGUAACAGUUUGUGUCAGGUAAGUUCUGACGCGUUGAAUAGUGUAAUGACUGGAGAACUGUCUCGGAGACUUGCUCGGUGAAAAUACAGUACCGGUGAAGAUGCCGGUUACCUGCAGUUAGACGAAAAGACCCUAGAAGCUUUACUGUAAUUUUAUAUUGACUAUACGUUUUUGAUGCGUAGCGUAGUUGGUAGGAUUUGAAGCGUUCCUCUCGGGGGGCGUGGAUCCGUCGAUGAAACACCAAUCUUUAAAAAUGUAUAUUCUAACCUCAGUGGCACAACCACCGGGAGACAGUAUAUGAUGGACAGUUUUAGUGGGGCGCUAUCCUUGGCCGUGUUAUUCAUUCAAAUGAAUAGUUCGGCCUUACUAUAGCGCCACCAGAAGUUUAAUCUCUUCAAAUAAAUAAAUUUAGGGGGUAUUCAAGAAAUUGAAUAGGUGAUUAGCUAUAUGCUGGAAAAUCCGGUUGUAUCCAACAGUACUCGGCAAUUAAAUUUGCAGAGUGAAAAUCUGUUUGGUGCGGACAAUCAGCAGGAAACUGAAAUAUCUGAAGGAGGAAAAGAAUAUGAAAAAGAAAAAAUCAAAGACGAAAAUUAAGCAUGUAAGUUUACACGUUCGCGCAUUCCCAACAACAAGUGUGGCCGAACUGCAUGAUAUUCUUGAGCAUCAGCGAGCCGUGGAACGGUCAGUAGAAGAUGGUACCUAUAACCGUGGUCCUGGUUACGAUAAUGCUUAUUCGGUGUGGGGAUUGUAAGAACCACACACAGGGGUAGUUUGGUACUACCCUCUUCCUUCAGGUAUUUCAGGAUCCUCAGAGACUAAACGCUAAUCGUUCGCCAAAAGCGAAUGAAAUUAUAGUCCGAUCUUCAUGGCGACAUGAAGAGGUAAGUAGAAAUACUUAUCCUUUGUAAAAAAUUACAAACAAAGUAACACAAAUGCCUAAACAGUAACGGAGGAGCCUAAAGGUCAGCUAGCCGCGAAUGGAAACCGUGGCGAUAGUGUAUGGGCACAAGCUGGCUUGACUGCAAGACGUACGUGUCGAGCAGACGCGAAAGCGGAGCCAAGUGAACCGACCGUUCGCAUUAGAUGCGGCGGAAGAUUAUCGGACAAAAGCUACUCUAGGGAUAACAGGCUAGUUCCGCCUAAGAGUUCAUAUCGACGGCGGAGUUCGGCACCUCGAUGUCGGCUCACCACAUCCUGGGGGUGGAGAAGCUCCCAAAGGUUUGGCUGUUCGCCAAUUAAAGUGGUACGCGAGCUGGGUUCAGACCGUCCUUCGGCAAUAAAGAUUGCCUCAGGACAGUCUGAAUCACUUCGAGAAUAUUUUUUGUUUAAUAGCACACAAAGUCAUUUUAAGCUUUGUGUUGUAACAGUUAGGAAGUAGGUCAAUCAACCACGGCGGUCCUACGAAGCUCUGAAAGAGCGUAGUAGGAACAAGUCGAUUUAUAUCGGUGGAACCCUUCGAAAAUAUUACAUAUUUUCUCAGGGCAAUACCGAGGGAAGUUUAUGAAAUUCAUAAUCGCCCGUAGAGACUAAACAUCGACACUUCAAGAAAUUGAAGGAAGCUAUAGUCCAAUGCAAUGAGUAAUCAUUGAUAAUCCUUCCGACAUAAAAGUCGUCAGGAUUUAUAACAUGCGUGAGACAGGUUGGUCUCCUAUCUACUGCAGGCGUUGAUACUUGAGGGGAUUUGACUCUAGUACGAGAGGACCGAGUUGAACGAACCUCUGGUCUACCUGCUGUUCUGCCAAGAGCAACGCAGGGUAGCUAUGUUCGGAUCGGAUAACCGCUGAAAGCAUAUAAGCGGGAAGCCGGCCCCAAGAUUAGGUAUCGUUAAAGACCCGUGAGAGAUGAUCACGUUGAUAGGCUUUAGGUGUACGCGCCGUAAGGUGUUGAGCCGUGAAGUACUAAUCCGUCGAUCCUAUUAGGAA